rnacentral:rRNA from 1 species
GACGAACGCUGGCGGCGUGCUUAACACAUGCAAGUCGAACGGAAAGGCCCUGCUUUCGUGGGGUGCUCGAGUGGCGAACGGGUGAGUAACACGUGAGUAGCCUGCCCUUGACUUUGGGAUAACUUCAGGAAACUGGGGCUAAUACCGGAUAGGAGCUCCUGCUGCAUGGUGGGGGUUGGAAAGUUUCGGCGGUUGGGGAUGGACUCGCGGCUUAUCAGCUUGUUGGUGGGGUAGUGGCUUACCAAGGCUUUGACGGGUAGCCGGCCUGGCAGGGUGACCGGCCAGAUUGGGACUGAGAUGCGGCCCGGACUCCUACGGGAGGCAGCAGUGGGGAAUAUUGCACCAUGGGCGGAAGCCUGAUGCAGCGACGCCGCGUGCGGGAUGACGGCCUUCGGGUUGUAAGCCGCUUUCGCCUGUGACGAAGCGUGAGUGACGGUAAUGGGUAAAGAAGCACCGGCUAACUACGUG